AGUGAACGCUGGCGGUAGGCCUAACACAUGCAAGUCGAACGGCAGCACAGGAGAGCUUGCUCUCUGGGUGGCGAGUGGCGGACGGGUGAGGAAUACAUCGGAAUCUACUUUUUCGUGGGGGAUAACGUAGGGAAACUUACGCUAAUACCGCAUACGACCUACGGGUGAAAGCAGGGGACCUUCGGGCCUUGCGCGAUUGAAUGAGCCGAUGUCGGAUUAGCUAGUUGGCGGGGUAAAGGCCCGCCAAGGCGACGAUCCGUAGCUGGUCUGAGAGGAUGAUCAGCCACACUGGAACUGAGACACGGUCCAGACUCCUACGGGAGGCAGCAGUGGGGAAUAUUGGACAAUGGGCGCAAGCCUGAUCCAGCCAUACCGCGUGGGUGUAGAAGGCCUUCGGGUUGUAAAGCCCUUUUGUUGGGAAAGAAAUCCAGCUGGCUAAUACCCGGUUGGGAUGACGGUACCCAAAGAAUAAGCAUCGGCUAACUUCGUGCCAGCCGCCGCGGUAA
rnacentral:rRNA from 1 species